rnacentral:rRNA from 1 species
AUUGAACGCUGGCGGCAUGCCUUACACAUGCAAGUCGAACGGCAGCAUGGGUGCUUGCACCUGAUGGCGAGUGGCGAACGGGUGAGUAAUGCAUCGGAACGUACCCGGAAGUGGGGGAUAACGUAGCGAAAGUUACGCUAAUACCGCAUAUUCUGUGAGCAGGAAAGCGGGGGAUCGCAAGACCUCGCGCUUCCGGAGCGGCCGAUGUCGGAUUAGCUAGUUGGCGGGGUAAAGGCCCACCAAGGCAACGAUCCGUAGCGGGUCUGAGAGGAUGAUCCGCCACACUGGGACUGAGACACGGCCCAGACUCCUACGGGAGGCAGCAGUGGGGAAUUUUGGACAAUGGGCGCAAGCCUGAUCCAGCCAUGCCGCGUGAGUGAAGAAGGCCUCGGUUGUAAGACUCUUCGGUCUGGGAAGAAAGUACGCAUCUCCUAAUACGAGGUGAGGUUGACGGUACCUUGAUAAGAAG